rnacentral:tRNA from 1 species
UAUUUUCUACUUCUCAGUGUAAGUGAGAUACUUUAAGCUUAUUUUGUCCCUUAGUUUACU